GCAUUGGUGGUUUGGUUGUAGAAUUCUCACCUUUCAUGUGAGAGACCUGGGUUCAAUUCCCAGCCAGUGCA
rfam:Loxodonta africana unplaced genomic scaffold scaffold_29, whole genome shotgun sequence.